UGGGGAAUAUUGGACAAUGGGCGCAAGCCUGAUCCAGCCAUGCCGCGUGUGUGAAGAAGGCCUUCGGGUUGUAAAGCACUUUUGUCCGGAAAGAAAUCCUGUCGGUUAAUACCCGGCGGGGAUGACGGUACCGGAAGAGUAAGCACCGGCUAACUUCGUGCCAGCAGCCGCGGUAAUACGAAGGGUGCAAGCGUUACUCGGAAUUACUGGGCGUAAAGCGUGCGUAGGUGGUGAGUUAAGUCUGUCGUGAAAGCCCCGGGCUCAACCUGGGAAUGGCGAUGGAUACUGGCUCGCUAGAGUGCGGUAGAGGAGAGUGGAAUUCCCGGUGUAGCAGUGAAAUGCGUAGAGAUCGGGAGGAACAUCAGUUGCGAAGGCGGCUCUCUGGACCAGCACUGACACUGAGGAGCGAAAGCUAGGGGAGCAAA
rnacentral:rRNA from 1 species